rnacentral:rRNA from 1 species
GACGAACGCUGGCGGCGUGCUUAACACAUGCAAGUCGAACGAUGAAGCUAGAGCUUGCUCUGGUGAAUUAGUGGCGAACGGGUGAGUAACACGUGAGUAACCUGCCCCGGACUCUGGGAUAACUGCUGGAAACGGUAGCUAAUACUGGAUACGACCUACGAAGGCAUCUUCUGUAGGUGGAAAGAAUUUCGGUUCGGGAUGGACUCGCGGCCUAUCAGCUUGUUGGUGAGGUAAUGGCUCACCAAGGCGACGACGGGUAGCCGGCCUGAGAGGGUGACCGGCCACACUGGGACUGAGACACGGCCCAGACUCCUACGGGAGGCAGCAGUGGGGAAUAUUGCACAAUGGGCGCAAGCCUGAUGCAGCAACGCCGCGUGAGGGAUGACGGCCUUCGGGUUGUAAACCUCUUUUAGUAGGGAAGAAGCGAAAGUGACGGUACCUGCAGAAAAAGCACCGGCUAACUACGUGCCAGCCGCCGCGGUAA